rnacentral:rRNA from 1 species
UACGAAGGGUGCAAGCGUUAAUCGGAAUUACUGGGCGUAAAGCGUGCGUAGGCGGUUUGUUAAGUCUGCUGUGAAAUCCCCAGGCUUAACCUGGGAACUGCAUCCGAUACUGGAUGGCUUGAAUCCGGGAGAGGGAUGCGGAAUUCCAGGUGUAGCGGUGAAAUGCGUAGAUAUCUGGAGGAACACCGGUGGCGAAGGCGGCAUCCUGGACCGGCAUUGACGCUGAGGAGCGAAAGCCAGGGGAGCAAACGGG